GACGAACGCUGGCGGCGUGCUUAACACAUGCAAGUCGAACGGAAAGGCCCGGCUUUUGUGGGGUGCUCGAGUGGCGAACGGGUGAGUAACACGUGAGUAACCUGCCCUUGACUUUGGGAGAACUUCAGGAAACUGGGGCUAAUACCGGAUAGGAGCUCCUGCUGCAUGGUGGGGGUUGGAAAGUUUCGGCGGUUGGGGAUGGACUCGCGGCUUAUCAGCUUGUUGGUGGGGUAGUGGCUUACCAAGGCUUUGACGGGUAGCCGGCCUGAGAGGGUGACCGGCCACAUUGGGACUGAGAUACGGCCCAGACUCCUACGGGAGGCAGCAGUGGGGAAUAUUGCACAAUGGGCGGAAGCCUGAUGCAGCAACGCCGCGUGCGGGAUGACGGCCUUCGGGUUGUAAACCGCUUUCGCCUGUGACGAAGCGUGAGUGACGGUAAUGGGUAAAGAAGCACCGGCUAACUACGUG
rnacentral:rRNA from 1 species